rnacentral:rRNA from 1 species
UACGAAAGGUGCAAGCGUUACUCGGAAUCACUGGGCGUAAAGCGCACGUAGGCGGACUCGUAGGUCAAUUGUGAAAUACCUGGGCUCAACCCGGGAACUGCAGUUGAAACCGCUUGUCUUGAAUACCUGAGAGGGUGGGGGAAUACCUGGUGGAGAAGUGAAAUUCGUAGAGAUCAGGUGGAACACCGGAGGCGAAGGCGCCUGCCUGGGAGUGUAUUGACGCUGAGGUGCGAAAGUGCGGGGAGCAAACAGG